CACGUAGGCGGAUUGGCAAGUCAGAUGUGAAAGCCCGGGGCUUAACCUCGGAACUGCAUUUGAUACUGCCUGUCUUGAGUAUGGUAGAGGGGGAUGGAAUUCCCGGUGUAGAGGUGAAAUUCGUAGAUAUCGGGAGGAACACCAGAGGCGAAGGCGAUCCCCUGGGCCAUUACUGACGCUGAGGUGCGAAGGCGUGGGGAGCAAACAGGAUUAGAUACCCUGGUAGUCC
rnacentral:rRNA from 1 species